rnacentral:ncRNA from 1 species
UAUAUAGCUAUGAGAAAAAGCGCAAAAUUUAUCUAAGUUUAAGAGAGAUGUUAUUUGGUGAGAAACAUUACUUGAAUUUUUUGCAACUCAUUUUCUCGCAUCACUAUUGAAUAAAGUAGGUAGUGACGUAUAACUACGUUAAAAGUUUCAAGUGGCUGUAAAGCAAUUUAGGUGGUACCGCGAUCAUUCGUCCUGAGA